UAAAACCAAGGACUGGAAAAAGCUGAUGGUUGUCUCAAGCAGGCCGGCACUCCUUCCACCCUCAGUGCACAUGAACACCUGCAAUUGCAAAAGGGUUUCUCUGUGUAGCUUUGGAGCCUAUCCUGGCACUCGCUCUGGGAUUAAAGGUGUUCACCACCAACAGCCGAAUGUCUGGCAGAUUCCUCUGUGAAGCAGGAACCCUUGAAGGACCAUCCCAUCUUGUCUUGGCAAGUUCAGCAGUCAUUUUUCUGUGGAUCCUGCACAUCCAGUUCACACAGCAUAUAGUCAAGCAGUUCAGGCAAGAGCAGUUUCCUGCCCAAAUGGCUAGCCCUGCUACACUGGAGGCACACUCUGUAACAAGUUUUUUCGAUGCCCAUCAUCCUCUCUGACAUAAUUGGUGCUGCCAGGAGCAGAUGUGACUCAUGUCAACAGAAUUCUAAAUUACUGAAACAUUUAAAUGCCG
rnacentral:lncRNA from 1 species